AUGGGAAGUGAGAAGGAAGGUGGGGCUCUCAGGUCCCAAAGGAACAUGCAAAAUUUUUGUGAUGCACUGGCAGAUUGUAACCUGUUUGAUAUGGGUUACGUCGGAGACAUAUUCACAUGGCGAAGGGGAAGGAUCCGGGAGAGGCUUGACCGGGCUGUAUGUGACCAAAGAUGGAAUGAUCUCUUUCCUCUAGCGGGAGUGAUCCACGGUGAAUUCUCCAAAUCUGAUCAUAGACCGAUAGUGGUUGAUACAGAGUAC
rnacentral:rRNA from 1 species